GGAGUUUCUUUCCUGCAAGAUGGUCAGAAACUUGGAAAUGUUCUUAAGGACAAAACAUACUCGAUGGCCUUGAUGCCUCAUUUGCUCCACCUCCAAAUACUUCUGCUUUCCAAUAGAAAGACAAGAAAGCACAACCUGACACUGGAUCUGCUACAACAUGCAGCUGAGGCUUUUCAGCUACCCAAUGACACCAAUUAUCCCAUAUGGUUGUCCUCUUCUGGAAAGUCUGAGUUAAUCCACAGCUGUGAAGAUGAAGACGCACCCAGCAG